rnacentral:pre_miRNA from 1 species
AGCUUUUUGCAUCUGUACUGAGAUUUCGUCAGACACCAACCCAUUAGGGCUGAUG